AGAAUCAACGCUGGCGGCGUGCCUCAGACAUGCAAGUCGAACGCGAAAGUCCCCUUCGGGGGCAAGUAGAGUGGCGCACGGGUGAGUAACACGUAGGUAAUCUACCUUCGGAUGGGGAAUAACAAUCGGAAACGGUUGCUAAUACCGCAUAAUGCAGCGGCACCUAAUGGUGACAGUUGUUAAAGCGGGGGAUCGAAAGACCUCGCGUCUGAAGAGGAGCCUGCGGCGGAUUAGCUAGUUGGUAGGGUAACGGCUUACCAAGGCAACGA
rnacentral:rRNA from 1 species